rnacentral:rRNA from 1 species
UCCAGAGGUCUCAAGCGUUGUUCGGAUUCAUUGGGCGUAAAGCGCACGUAGGCGGCUUAGCAAGUUGGAUGUGAAAUCCCUCGGCUCAACCAAGGAAGUGCAUCCAAAACUGCUGAGCUUGAGUACUUAAGAGGAUCGCGGAAUUCCCGGUGUAGAGGUGAAAUUCGUAGAUAUCGGGAGGAACACCAGUGGCGAAGGCGGCGAUCUGGGAAGAUACUGACGCUGAGGUGCGAAAGCGUGGGGAGCAAACAGG